rnacentral:misc_RNA from 1 species
CUCCGCAUCCCAACAAUAUGCACAAGAAUCACCAACAGCUGAGAAUAUGCAUCCCUCCUGUUUAUCCACAGCAAUGGCAUUGUUUUCAGGGAUUGGGGAAAGAGCACCCCAAGGACCUUUAUGCUGGGGAUUCAUCAAGUCAAGUACUGGCUGUAUGUGAAUUCCUUUCAAAGAAAUGGGUGCCUCUAAUUGUGUAAAUUCCUUCCACUUCCAACCCCGAAUUCGACCAUCAUCCCCA